rnacentral:rRNA from 1 species
GUAGGGUGCGAGCGUUAUCCGGAAUCAUUGGGCGUAAAGAGCUCGUAGGCGGUUCAGCAAGUCGGCUGUGAAAUUCCGAGGGCUCAACCUCGGAACUGCAGUCGAUACUGCUGUGACUCGAGUCCGGUAGAGGAGAAUGGAAUUCCCGGUGUAGCGGUGAAAUGCGCAGGUAUCGGGAGGAACACCAGUAGCGAAGGCGGUUCUCUGGGCCGGCACUGACGCUGAGGAGCGAAAGCGUGGGUAGCAAACAGGAUUAGAUACCCUGGUAGUCCACGCCGUAAACGUUGGAUACUAGGUGUGGCGUUCCGACCAACGGUCGCCGUGCCGAAGCUAACGCAUUAAGUAUCCCGCCUGGGGAGUACGGCCGCAAGGCU